AGAGUUUGAUCAUGGCUCAGAUUGAACGCUGGCGGUAUGCUUAACACAUGCAAGUCGAACGGUAACAGGAAAAGCUUGCUUUUCGCUGACGAGUGGCGGACGGGUGCGUAAUGCGUAGGAAUCUGCCUAGUAGUGGGGGACAACUCGGAGAAAUUCGAGCUAAUACCGCAUAAGCCCUACGGGGGAAAACGGGGGAUCUUCUGACCUCGUGCUAUUAGAUGAGCCUACGUUAGAUUAGCUUGUUGGUGAGGUAAAAGCUCACCAAGGCGACGAUCUAUAGCUGGUCUGAGAGGAUGAUCAGCCACACUGGGACUGAGACACGGCCCAGACUCCUACGGGAGGCAGCAGUGGGGAAUAUUGGACAAUGGGUGAAAGCCUGAUCCAGCAAUACCGCGUGUGUGAAGAAGGCCUGAGUGGUUGUAAAGCACUUUCAAUUGGGAGGAAUACCUAAUGGUUAAUAGCCAUUAGAUUGACAUUACCUUUAGAAGAAGCACCGGCUAACUCCGUGCCAGCAGCCGCGGUAAUACGGAGGGUGCAGGCGUUAAUCGGAAUUACUGGGCGUAAAGCGUUCGUAGGCGGUUUGUUAAGUUAGAUGUGAAAGCCCCGGGCUUAA
rnacentral:rRNA from 1 species